rnacentral:rRNA from 1 species
CCUACGGGCGACUGCAGUGGGGAAUAUUGCACAAUGGGGGAAACCCUGAUGCAGCGACGCCGCGUGAGUGAAGAAGUAAUUCGUUAUGUAAAGCUCUAUCAGCAGGGAAGAAAAUGACGGUACCUGAGUAAGAAGCCCCGGCUAACUACGUGCCAGCAGCCGGGGUAAUACGUAGGGGGCAGGCGUUAUCCGGAUUUACUGGGUGUAAAGGGGGCGUAGACGGCAGUGCAAGUCUGGAGUGAAAGGCGGGGGCUCAACCCCCGGACUGCCCUGGAAACUGUACGGCUGGAGUGCAGGAGAGGUAAGUGGAAUUCCUGGUGUAGCGGUGAAAUGCGUAGAUAUUAGGAGGAACACCAGUGGCGAAGGCGGCUUACUGGACCCUAACUGACGUUGAGGCUCGAAAGCGUGGGGAUCAAACAGGAUUAGAUACCCGAGUAGUC